UGGGGCUCUUCAAUUAUUACAUUUAUCACCCCUAUGGGAGGCCGGUCUCCAGAAGGCCUCCGUUAUGGUUUUGAUGGAGCAAGUAGUCUUCGUUGCUCCUCUGGAUGAUCCUACCGAUGCUGAAUAAAUCAGUCGAAGUGACCACGCCGAAUGAGUUCUUCUAUUUCAUCCUGAAGUUGAAUGCAGUCUUUGGUAUCGUGGCCAUGGUCACGGUGGUACAAGCAAUACUUAUUUUGAUUUCAUCGGCCGGGGUUAGACCGCAGUCUCUCCAUUCUAGGAAUCCGAUCCCUGAUCUCCAUCACACCUGGGCUCGAGUAGCAUUCAACGGGGUGUAAUUUCUAAAUCUCCUAAGCGGAGACAUAGCCACUCUCUUCUAGAAUUGUCCCUUUAUCGAGGAUUCUACGGUGGAGUUUGGGAUCUUCGGUUUCUGGGUGGAGAGCACUGUCGAUUCUUUGACGAGAACUUUGGUUUUUCUUCCUUCUUUUCCUCAGCUACCAUAUUGGUCGGGGACUCUCUCUCAAAAGCUUCAUCAACCCUCGUAUACUUUUCCGCCUGAGCCAAUAUAUCAGCAAAGUUGCUGGAGUAGGUCUUCUCCAAUGAAUAACGAAGACCAUUUCUCAGUAGUCCGUCCGUCAAGGUGGCCAUAGUGACUGAUUGAUGCAAAUCGCGAACUUCCAAUAUAGCCGCAUUAAAAUGGCUGAGGUAAGAUCGGAUGGACUCUCCUUCUAUCUGCUUGAUGUUCAACGAGAGUCCGAUCCUUUAUGUUGUCUCCUGCUGCUAACAAAAUGACCGACGAACAACCGACUCAUUUGGUCAAAAGAGUUGAUGGAUCAUGGCUUCAGGCUCGCAUACCAACACCGAGCUAUACCUUUGAGUGUGGACAGAAAGGCUCGGUAGAAGGCUGCAUCGGUAGCACCAUGGAUCAGCAUCAGAGACUUAAAACUCUCUAAGUGAUUCACAGGAUCGGUGAUCCUGUGGUAGUUCUCUAGUAG
rnacentral:lncRNA from 1 species